CAGUAGCCGCGGGAAUACGAAGGGUGCAAGCGUUAAUCGGAAUUACUGGGCGUAAAGCGCGCGUAGGCGGCUUUUUAAGUCAGAGGUGAAAGCCCGGGGCUCAACCCCGGAAUUGCCUUUGAAACUGGAAAGCUAGAAUCUUGGAGAGGUCAGUGGAAUUCCGAGUGUAGAGGUGAAAUUCGUAGAUAUUCGGAAGAACACCAGUGGCGAAGGCGACUGACUGGACAAGUAUUGACGCUGAGGUGCGAAAGCGUGGGGAGCAAACAGGAUUAGAGACCCGCGUAGUCCCUGUCUCUUAUAC
rnacentral:rRNA from 1 species